UACAGGGCAGGGUGAGAUUCCCGACCGGCGGUAUAGCCCGCGAGACCGGUUGUUCCGGUUUGAACCGAUGAGAUUUCGGUGCCGACAGUAUAGUCUGGAUGAAAGUA
rnacentral:ncRNA from 1 species